UAUCUUCACGAUUAAGGAUCCCCGUGUCAUGCCCUAAACAUUAAAUUUUAAAUUGGAAACUGUUUUUGCGUCUGAUAAAUUAUUUCUGUAAAGAAAAAACAUUCCUUGCGGGACUUAUGUUAAACAUUAAUUACGAUGUUAGAAACAGAAUAUAAUCGACAAUGUUUUGAUACUGAAAACGCUAGGGGAUCCGACAGGGAUUCGGACCCUGGUCCUCCGAUUUUGAUAAUGCAAUCCCAACCAACUGAGUUGUUUUCCUGGUCCGAUUAUCAAGAACGAAAUUAAGGGGAGGUUACUGAGUAUAACAUCUGUCUGAGGUUUGAAAAGAAUCCCUAAGAUUAACAUAAUUGCUUUUGUUUUCUCAAAUUCACUAACGAAUUCACAACUACCGCUUUAACUUAUAUGUCGCCAAGUCAAGUCAAAGUAUGCAGGCAUUAAUUAAAAAAAUACUACACUUCUUGGAGCUUUUUAUACGUUUUGUACUCACUUGCCUUUCUUGAUUUAUCGACAAUCAUUGUUUGCUUUAAUGAACCUCUGGGGUUUCAAGGUACUAGACCCAUGUCUUAUCCCCUGUAAGUAACUUUUGACAGCUUUCUUGAUACUCUAAUACCUCACUUUUUCAAUAUACUAUCUUUUAUUUUCUGUCGGACAUGACAAAUCGGUAUUCCGUAAAACAUAUUUAAAAUAAUAAUGAAAAACACACACACACUCCAUUUUCGCUUGACACAAAACUAAAAAAAAAACAGCUUUCUUUUUGAUAUCCCCCUUUUUAUGGAAUUAAGAUGGGAAUAGGAUGAAAAAAAGCGAAAUCUACAGAUUGGUUUAAGGAGUUCUGUUAAUGUUGGUUGUAAUGAAACAGUACUAACCCUUAUUUCAGAAGAACUUUUAAACAGGAUUUAUUCAAAAAUAUGUGAUUGUAUAGCUUUUUAAUUUUGUGUUUCAUUCUGUCUUACAGAUUUUGAUUUCGAUUUUACAAAACAUGUCCAAAACAAUUUUGAUAAAGCAUCAAAAUUCACGUGCUGUAAUGUACCAGACAUAAAGGCAGUUUUAGCACAGUUUAACUACCUCCUGUCGUCUUAUUUGAUGUAUAAUUGAUAUCGAUGUUUUGCAAAUCUGUAAUAUCUGCCAAACGAUAGGGCUAUGAUCCGACAUUUCGGAGUGUUUUCAUUUCACUUGUUUGACGGUGAUCGUUCUAAUUCCAAUAGAAUUGAUUAUUCAUAUUUUCAAUAGCACAGAAAGAAAACAGUUAAAAAUGGAUGGAUGCAUUAUCGAUAUAAUUUGGAACACGCUAUUUCCCAAAUAUCUCCAUUUCAAUUUUUCAAAUUUGUUUUUGAUAUCUGGCAAUUCAUGGUUAAUACUACAAACUGUUAUAUCGGUAUAACGAUCGCUAGAUUAUACCAUACAUAAUCUAAAUAAGCCAGCACGGUAUUGAUAUUCUGUAAAAUUUCUGAAUGGAACCCGUUCAUCGAAGUGUUUGAUAUUGCAAUUGUGAAAUGAAACGUUUAAGGAAGUGUACUCUAAGUACAAACUACUGGGUAUACAGGUAAACAGGUAUACAGGUAUGCAGGUAUGUGUUACAGGACUCUAAGUAUAAACUACUGAGUAUACAGGUAUACAGGUAUGCAGGUAUACGGGUAUGCAGGUAUACAGGUAUACAGGUAUGCGUUUCAGGACUUUAAGUACAAAUGACUGGGUAUACAGGUGUACAGGUAUACAGGUAUGCAGGUAUACAGGAAUACAGGUAUGCGUUACAGGACUCUAAGUACAAAUGACUGGGUAUACGGGUAUACAGGUAUACAGGUAUGCAGGUAUACAGGUAUACAGGUAUGUGUUACAGGACUCUAAGUACAAAUGACUGGGUAUACGGGUAUACAGGUAUACAGGUAUGCAGGUAUACAGGUAUACAGGUAUACAGGUAUGCGUUACAGGACUCUAAGUACAAAUUACUGGGUAUACAGGUAUACAGGUAUACAGGUAUGCGUUUCAGGACUUUAAGUACAAACUACUGGGUAUACAGGUAUGCGUUACAGGACUCUAAGUACAAACUACUGGGUAUACAGGUAUGUGUUACAGGACUCUAAGUACAAAUUGCUGGGUAUACAGGUAUGCGAUUUAUCUAUCAAGCUACAAGUUUAGGUGAAAAUAAAGCAUAUACCAACAUACAUAUUACUAUACAACCAUUUAUAGAUUUAGAUAUCUGCUACAAGCCCCUGUGGUUUAAUCCUAAGUACACAUUUAAUUUGCAUCAUUUAUAUGCUGACAAAGGCUCGGCACGUUUGUUAGAAACAGGGGAUGUCUCUGUGUGAAGUAUGAUUGUAUGAGACCUUAUUGAUAGUUCCUAGAGUAUCUUUCAAUGUCAGUAUUCAAUAAAUGCCCUUCAAUAUUUAGACGAUAUUAGGUAAAUAAGAUAAAAGCUGUCAUCAUGUCACAUCACUACACAACAGGACCGCUUUGUUCUAAGAUGUGUUAGCUUAAUACAAAUUGGCGAAAAUGUUCAUCUAGUACAUUGUAUAUCAACAUAUAUAAAUUUACAAUUAUUAUCAAAAGUGUAUUUACAGAAAUAAGAAUAUAAUCACAAGCAUAGGUACAUGUAUGUGAUUAAAAUAAUUGUACGAGGACUAAAACAAAAUUCACCCCCAAAAGUCAUUUUCGCUAUCCACUCUGAAAAUGUCACUUCAAUCUAACAAGACUUUAGUGAUCUAGAUCCAAGUUACAAUUAUUACUUCCUUUGUUAAAUUACUACCGGGUACAUCGAUGGGAUUUCUUUGUUGUUAACCUUAAAAUUGCUUAUUUUAUCAUCGCCUGAUUAGAAUGCGUCUCACAUCGCGUAAACAAGGAAGUAGUCAGUAUUUAUUGAGGUUUAAAUUACAGGUCAAGGACAUACAUUUCUGUCCAUAACCUACGUAGUAUAAUAUGUCAUGGCGAAUAGACUUGUUUACUGUACAUGUUUCACGUCGCUUUUGGAGUUUAGUGAGUCAUGCACUCGAAUAGAUUGCUAAUAUUCAGAAACCUUUAUAAAAUGGACACAAAUUGACUAAUUCAAUUAACUAAUUUGUUCAGACUAAUUCUUGUUGCAAUUCAAAUGUUCAAAGUCCAAAUUUUAUAAUCAACAAUGUUAAUAUUUGGUGAUGCUAGACUGGCCGCUUGUCUCUAGAAUAUUGAAUUAUUCAAAAUAAAUCCAAUAAUUUUGAUCACUUUGAUGUCUGUUCCUGAGUUUUCUAACUAGGGGAAGAUAAGCUAGUAGUAAAAUGCAGCCGGUAAAUUCUUCAUAAAAACUUAGGGGCUGAUAGCCAGUCUCGGUUGAUGCAUAUAAAUACUUAUUGAUAUAUACUUCAUCAGAUUUACUUCAUAUCAAUUAAUAUUGAAGCAAUAAGAUAUGUUAAUGAUCAUUUUUAUCACAGUUGUUCUAUUUUUAGUGCGGAUAUAUUUGAUCUAAAAAGAGUUGUGGGAAAUCGUUUUCAUGGAAACGGUAAUGCAUAUAUACGCCUUGUCAUGAACUUAAAAUUUUGAAUACUUAUUAAAGGAUUUCAGAAUCAUCCCUGAAAGAACCCUAUUAACAUAAAGAUUUAACGGCAUUAACUUAAAAACCAAAAUGCCGUUCAAAUAAAUAAAUAUUUACAAAUAGACACUCUAAAUUUUGGGAAGGAGCAUAUCAGCUUUUUGUUAUCCCACAAUCCUAUCAUUUUUGGUAAAAAUAAACAUGGCUGAAUCGCCGAAACUUAAUUGUAUGCCAAAAGAAAAACUUUGAAAUUAUGAUGAUGCAAUCUGUAUUCCAACCACCUCAAGCAAGUAGGCAUAUAUUACAUAUAGGGAGACACGUCUUUAAAUGACAUUGCCUGUUAAUAGGAAGUUACCACCAAUAAAACCUAAACAGGAAUUAAAUCGUUCAUCUUCGCAUAUGCCACUGUGUUACAAAAUCCCAAUUAAUAUAGGUUUGAAAAAUCUUGAUCUGCGCAUUAACAAAACAAUUGACACAAACGCAAUGCAAUGUAAAUACAUUAUCCCCUAUAUCAAUAUAUGUUAAAAUAGUUAAAAUUCAUGUGUACUAUACGUGUGGUAUAUUUUAUACGUUUGUU